rnacentral:rRNA from 1 species
AGAGUUUGAUCAUGGCUCAGAAUCAACGCUGGCGGCGUGCCUAACACAUGCAAGUCGAACGCGAAAGGGGAGCAAUCCCUGAGCUAGAGUGGCAAACGGGUGAGUAACACGUGGGUGACCUGCCUUCGAGUGGGGGAUAACGUCCCGAAAGGGACGCUAAUACCGCAUGACAUCCUGUCCUUAGACGGACGGAGAUCAAAGCUAGGGAUCGCAAGACCUGGCGCUUGGAGAGGGGCCCGCGUCUGAUUAGCUAGUUGGUGAGGUAACGGCUCACCAAGGCUACGAUCAGUAUCCGGCCUGAGAGGGCGGACGGACACACUGGGACUGAGACACGGCCCAGACUCCUACGGGAGGCAGCAGUGGGGAAUUGUUCGCAAUGGGCGCAAGCCUGACGACGCAACGCCGCGUGGAGGAUGAAGAUCUUCGGGUCGUAAACUCCUGUCGAAUGGGAAGAAUGUUUCGUGGAUGAAUAAGCCGCGAAGGUGACGGUACCAUUAAAGGAAGCCCCGGCUAACUCCGUGCCAGCAGCCGCGGUA